AGAACGAACGCUGGCGGCAAGCCUAACACAUGCAAGUCGAACGGACAAUUAUUUAUAGCCUCUGGCUAUAGGAAAUUGUUAGUGGCAGACGGGUGAGUAAUGCGUAGGAAUCUACCUAGUAGUACGGAAUAGCCAUUAGAAAUGGUGGGUAARACUGUAUAAUCCCCGAGGGGGAAAGAUUUAUCGCUAUUUGAUGAGCCUACGUUAGAUUAGCUAGUUGGUGAGGUAAUGGCUUACCAAGGCUAUGAUCURUAGCUGGUCUGAGAGGACGAUCAGCCACACUGGAACUGAGAUACGCUCCAGACUCCUACGGGAGGCAGCAGUGGGGAAUAUUGGACAAUGGGCGAAAGCCUGAUCCAGCUAUGCCGCGUGAGUGAAGAAGGCCUUC
rnacentral:rRNA from 1 species